UUGGCAGUGGAGGUAAGAGUGUUUUGCUGGAAAUCUCUUUGCACCUGAGGCCUUCUGAAGGUGGAGAGGAAACACACUGGUAUUUCCUGCAUCAGUCUUCAUGAGGUUGGAGGUAUUAAAUCGUAGAAUUUUUUUUGAGGGAUCAUGCCAAUACUGGUCUGUGACAAUGUGACGAGGAAAUUCAAUCAGAGGACACUGGAGAUGAUAGGACAGAAUAAAGUGAGGGUAGAAUGCAAGAGUUCGGCUGCUGGAAAGAGAGACCAUGAACAGCAGCAUCUGAAGACUUGACACUGCAGGUUAGGAAUGAAGAAGGCUGUAGCACAGAUCACAGAGGAAGCAGUGUUAAACAAACUGUCAUCUAGCAUUUGUCAUCAGUGUUAACCUGGUAACCAGGCAACUGAGAGAGAUGUAAGAAGCUCACUGCAUCAUCCAGAGUGAAGGGAUGCGUUUGGAGGGGAUGAGAAAGAGCUUAAGAGCUCUGUGAUUCAUGGGAUCAGCAACUCAUCAUCGGGGUAGUCGGGCUGGCAACUGAGGACACACACAUACACACAGACUUUAUAGGGUAUAUCAAGGGUGAAGCAGGAAAGGAUGGAAAUGAAGAGGAAAAAAUCAGCACCAAUGGGAGCUGUAACAAAGAUCUGACACCUCAAUUAUUGCUAUCACCAGGUACCUCUGAGCAAUUCCUGUAGCUGUACCAAAAGCAGUAUUUGCUUUGGUUUAAUGCCCUCCCUCUCAAGGGCUGUGCAUCCCAUGUAUCUCUGUGAAGAUUUAUUUUCAUCUACAAGGUGUGUUCAUGCCAAGACAUCACUCCUCCUCUGCCCAGAGACCGCAUCAGCUUUCACAGAGGGAAGGAGAGCCACAGGAUGGCAGGGAACUUCCAAACAGCAGUGGGUGGAGAUGGAGAAAUAAAGCUGUUGAGAACAGUUGACAACCAGAAACUGGCUUGUUUCUAUAGAGAGGACACCUCCUGGAUGGACUGGUUUCAUACAGAGAAUGGUUUGAAGGUCUUGUACAAGAAACUGUAAACUACUUAGCAGGGAACAGGAAACUUUGUAGAGGAGAGAUGAAAUAGAGAAUGCUUGGCACAUGGAGAGAUGUGAAGGAGGAGACGCACAUAGCCUAUGAAUUCAUCCCUCUGCUUUUUUUCUGCUAGCCAUUAUGGGAGCUCUGCUGCAGCAGGCAAUCCAGUAGAGAGUGGUAAUGAGAUGGGAAAGGAGAAGCAGCCACCCAAGGUCAGCAGAAGCCUUUGGUUGCCAGCACCAGGGUGGCUCAGCAGAGGUCAGCACAAAUGGGCAGAGAUGUCUUUUCUGCAAAAGGCUGGUUUGCAUCUGAAACAGGUGGGCCCGAGUCAUCAGGGGAGAUCCAAGGAUGCACCUGGCACCCAGUGAGGCAAGGGAUGCUGAUGUCUGCACUUGGACAGAAGGAGACAAAGCUCAGCAAAGAAGACAAUGCAGCUGUGACUGUCAUGUUGGCUUUGCUUCCUUUACAGUGCCUGUUAAUUACACAAGGUUUGUUUUGGGAACAACUGGCAAAGCCCUUCCUUCUGUCCUGCUGCUGCAUGCUCUGGUUUGGCCAUGUUCUCCUCCAGACCUCAGUCCCAGGACUGGGAGGAAUUUAUUAACUGACUUUUUUUUUUUUUGCCUCAGAGGGGAUCCCCAAAUCAGACCCAGAAGGUCAGAGGCACUGGAUGCCCCUCAGCUGGUCCUGACCUUUCUAUUUUUCCCUCUUUGUGCAUCCAGUCACCAGUUCUCAUUCUGCUUCUAGUUGCGUAACUCCCCCGCUUUAAACUGAGCUGUGAAACCACUUCAUCUCAAUCCAUACAGGGAAAGAGGGGAAAAAAAAUCAUUUCAGGUAUGGCUGCUAGAAACCUAGGUCCUCCAUACUGUAUAUAGCUUAGAAUUUGCCUUUUAAAGGUUUGAAUUACUAGUGCCAGAGGGAAAGCAAUUCAGAAGUUUAAGGCACAGACCUUUUGUUGCUCCCUCUAACUCAAGAGAGGUUCUAUUUGUUAGACAGCAGUGUGCUAGUUACAGGCUCACUCAGAAAAUGUCUACACAGCUGUUUUCAGACUCCUGGGAUUUUAAAACAUUUAAAUAAAGUUUGCUGAAGGCUUUGAGUACAGCCUGGAUCUUGCUGCAUGAGAGCAAAUGCUGCAUUCCCCCACCUGUGAACAGAAUCCAGUCUGGAGGUGCUGUGCUUGAGCAAAAUGGACAAACCUUGUAGCAGAACAUCUCCUUCACGUGGAAGCUAGCAGAAGUCCUGCCAGUCUGCAAUCCAAGCAAAAUGAGCAGAAAUCUGAUUGGAGAAAUCCAGGAAAAAUGAAUGAAGUUACAUCUUGUAUUACAAAGAGCUCUGGAUGAGGGUGAACACUGAUGGAGAGGAAAGCCAGGGGUGUAUCCUUUAGUGAGGCAGAGCCAUGUGAGUGGUUCCUGCUGUUAAAGGAUGUGUCUUUAGACAUGCUGUUGGUGCUGGGGGUGGAAGCCCUCACCUGCUCAUAAUGCUGAGUACUGGGCACAGAGAGGCAGCAGGUGUGGCACCCAGGUCCUACACCCCACCAGUGCAACCCUGCUCUACUGCUGCUGUUUCCCCCUCAGAAUUGGGGCUGUUGGCCCACAGAGGGGCUGGAAGGAGCUGGAGGGGUGUGAGAGGGAUGUCCUGUGGCUCACAGCAACUCCUGUAGCUCUGACAUGGCAUCUGACCAGUUGGUAGACGUAGGUUGGCUGACCAUUCCCUCACCUGGCUAUAUUAACCCCUCAGGAGUUCAAAAUCUCAUAUAGAUUCAGAAAUUUGGAAGCUCAGUCUGGGCUCAUCAAAGCUUUCAAUGUUAUUAUCUCUGCUACUCAGAGGCAGAUACCAAACACCCUCAGGAACUCACCUUUAAUAAACAGUGGUGGGCUGAGGGGGUGGGGAGUACUCAGCAUAGCCCCUGUUAUUAUAUUUUCCCCCUGUUCUGUGCAGCUCUCAUUCAAACACCAGAGCCAUAGGGGGCUGCUGGUGGUGACGAGGAUCUUAUUACAGUUCAUUUCUCCUCCAAAUUAAAAUCAGUGCAUUAAGUUCACCUUGCUGCACUGACUUGAGUCCUUUUGCUGGAGCAGAGGAUGGCCAGUGGUCCUCAGCAGUGACAAAUAUGGGAGGUGGGCACUGGAGACUCGCUGCCUGAGAAGAUGAAGGAGGAAACGUGCUAGUCCUGAGGCAGCUGGCAAUAGGUGCAGCCAACACAGCUCGGAUGGAGCCCUGAAGCAUUGGUCAAACCCCCUCUGUAGUGACAGCAGCCCCCUGCCAGCUGGGUGUGCUCUUCUGCUGGGCCCCCACUGUGCUGUCUGAGCAGCAAUAAGGGUGUCCAAGUGUCUGCCCAGCCACAUGGAUGACAGCAGCAGCUGAAGGCAGUUUCCUUGCUGCAGCAGGAUCUGGCCUCUCCAGGCAAUGAGAUGAGAUCGUGGGAGGAAGCCAGGCGGCAAAACCCUGAUCUGAGUCAUCUGAGUGACUUGCAAAAUUCAUUUGACUAAGCAGCUGAAGGGGCUUGGAUGGCUGUUUUGUGGCUGUGGUUUCUUUCCUUUUUUUUUUUUUUUCUUUUUUUCUUUUUCCUCCCAAUUCUGUAACGAAGAUUUCCCAUGUUUCACUAGCCCAGCCUUUCAAAUUUCACGUGCACUUAUGCACACACGCACACACAGAUUGAUGUUUUCUACUUCUUCACCCUUUCUCCCUCCACUCUCAAUACUCAAGUAUGUUUGUCUUGCCCAUGUCCUUGUGCACCCCAAUGUGCUUAUUCCCAUGUCCUUGUCUCUAGCAGUGGCUGAGGAACACAGCUCCAGCCUCUUCAGGGGAACAAGACAGUAGUGGGGCUCUUCUUCACUGCUGUUCAGAAAUCUGAAUUACAAAUGCUUCCCUUUGAAAUCUCCUUUCACCUGUGAGUAGAGCCAUGGGCUCCAGGGUUUAUUUUAUAUUUUACUAUUUUAUUCACAUUCUUUCUUUCUUGUCUUCAAAAGGUGCUUCUCACAAUGCAGGGGGAGGAUCUAUUGCUUAGUUUAAGAUGGAAGAAAGUAAAUGUGGAACAAUAGUUGACAAAAUAAGCCUAUAAGGGAAAAUCUUCCUGCAGUUUUGUGAUUUAUUGCAAGUUAUUAUGUACACCCCCUGCUCUGACAUUAUUUCAUAAUCCGAUACAUUGCCACCACUGCCACUCAGUACAAAAAUGAUGGACACCUUAAGGAGGGUUCUCCAUAAG